UGCCAUAUCCAUAAGCGGAGGAAAAGAAACCAACCGGGAUUGCCUUAGUAACGGCGAGUGAAGCGGCAAAAGCUCAAAUUUGAAAUCUGGUACCUUUGGUGCCCGAGUUGUAAUUUGGAGAGGGCAACUUUGGGACCGUUCCUUGUCUAUGUUCCUUGGAACAGGACGUCAUAGAGGGUGAGAAUCCCGUGUGGCGAGGAGUGCGGUUCUAUGUAAAGUGCCUUCGAAGAGUCGAGUUGUUUGGGAAUGCAGCUCUAAGUGGGUGGUAAAUUCCAUCUAAAGCUAAAUAUUGGCGAGAGACCGAUAGCGAACAAGUACAGUGAUGGAAAGAUGAAAAGAACUUUGAAAAGAGAGUGAAAAAGUACGUGAAAUUGUUGAAAGGGAAGGGCAUUUGAUCAGACAUGGUGUUUUGCGCCCUCUGCUCCUUGUGGGUGGGGGAAUCUCGCAGUUCACUGGGCCAGCAUCAGUUUUGGUGGCAGGAUAAAUCCGUAGGAAUGUAACUUGCUUCGGGAAGUAUUAUAGCCUAUGGGAAUACUGCCAGCUGGGACUGAGGACUGCGACGUAAGUCAAGGAUGCUGGCAUAAUGGUUAUAUGCCGCCCGUCUAGAA
rnacentral:rRNA from 1 species